rnacentral:rRNA from 1 species
UUAGCCCUAAACACAAAUAAUUACAAUAACAAAAUUAUUCGCCAGAGUACUACCGGCAACAGCCUAAAACUCAAAGGACUUGGCGGUGCUUUACACCCUUCUAGAGGAGCCUGUUCUAUAAUCGAUAAACCCCGAUAAACCUCACCAGUUCUUGCUAAUACAGUCUAUAUACCGCCAUCUUCAGCAAACCCUAAAAAGGAAUAAAAGUAAGCAUAAUCACAACACAUAAAAACGUUAGGUCAAGGUGUAACCUAUGAAAUGGGAAGAAAUGGGCUACAUUUUCUACCACAAGAAAAUCACACGAAAGUUAUUAUGAAACUAAUAACCAAAGGAGGAUUUAGUAGUAAACUAAGAAUAGAGUGCUUAGUUGAAUUAGGCCAUGAAGCACGC